rnacentral:rRNA from 1 species
AGUGAACGCUGACGGUAGGCCUAACACAUGCAAGUCGAACGGCAGCACAGUAAGAGCUUGCUCUUACGGGUGGCGAGUGGCGGACGGGUGAGGAAUACAUCGGAAUCUACUUUUUCGUGGGGGAUAACGUAGGGAAACUUACGCUAAUACCGCAUACGACCUACGGGUGAAGGCAGGGGAUCUUCGGACCUUGCGCGAUUGAAUGAGCCGAUGUCGGAUUAGCUAGUUGGCGGGGUAAAGGCCCACCAAGGCGACGAUCCGUAGCUGGUCUGAGAGGAUGAUCAGCCACACUGGAACUGAGACACGGUCCAGACUCCUACGGGAGGCAGCAGUGGGGAAUAUUGGACAAUGGGCGCAAGCCUGAUCCAGCCAUACCGCGUGGGUGAAGAAGGCCUUCGGGUUGUAAAGCCCUUUUGUUGGGAAAGAAAAGCAGCAGGUUAAUACCCCGCUGUUCUGACGGUACCCAAAGAAUAAGCACCGGCUAACUUCGUG